UUUUACAAUGGAGAGUUUGAUCCUGGCUCAGGAUGAACGCUAGCGGCAGGCCUAAUACAUGCAAGUCGAACGAUAUCAUCCAGCUUGCUGGAUGAGAAAGUGGCGCACGGGUGCGUAACGCGUAUGCAACCUACCUUAAUCUGGGGGAUAGCCCGGAGAAAUCCGGAUUAAUACCGCA
rnacentral:rRNA from 1 species